rnacentral:SRP_RNA from 1 species
GCCGAGUGCAGUUGCGUUCUCGCUUGCCUGUAGUCCCAGCUACUCGGGAGGCUGAGACUAGAGGAUUGCUUGAGUCCAGGAGUUCUGGGCUGUAAUGUGCUGUGCGACUGAGUGUCCGCACUAAGUUUGGCAUCAAUAUGGUGACCUCCCGGGAGCGGGGGACCACCAGGUUGCCUAAGGAGGGGUGAACCAGCCCAGGUCAGAAAUGGAGCAGGUCAAAACUCCUGUGCUGAUCAGUAGUGGGAUCGUGACUGUGAAUAGCCACUGCACACCAGCAGCCUGGGCAACAUAGCGAGACCCCAUCUCU